rnacentral:rRNA from 1 species
UACGUAGGGGGGCAAGCGUUGUCCGGAUUUAUUGGGCGUAAAGAGCUCGUAGGCGGUUCGAUAAGUCGGACGUGAAAUCUCCACGCUCAACGUGGAGGGGCCGUUCGAUACUGUCGUGACUCGAGUCCGGUAGGGGAGUGUGGAAUUCCCGGUGUAGUGGUGAAAUGCGUAGAGAUCAUGAGGAAGACCAGUGGCGAAGGCGGGUCUCUGGACAGUUCCUGACACUGAGACACGAAGGCCAGGGGAGCAAACGGG